rnacentral:rRNA from 1 species
GACGAACGCUGGCGGCGUGCUUAACACAUGCAAGUCGAACGGUGAAGCGCCUUCCUUUUUGGUGGGUGUGGAUGAGUGGCGAACGGGUGAGUAACACGUGAGUAACCUGCCCCCUUCUUCUGGAUAACCGCAUGAAAGUGUGGCUAAUACGGGAUAUUCUGGGUCUGUCGCAUGAUGGGUCUGGGAAAGAUAUUGUUUCGGUGGGGGAUGGGCUCGCGGCCUAUCAGCUUGUUGGUGGGGUGAUGGCCUACCAAGGCGGUGAGGGGUAGCCGGCCUGAGAGGGUGGACGGUCACACGGGGACUGAGCCACGGCCCAGACUCCUACGGGAGGCAGCAGUGGGGAAUAUUGCACAAUGGGCGCAAGACUGAUGCAGCGACGCCGCGUGAGGGAUGGAGGCCUUCGGGUUGUGAACCUCUUUCGCCAGUGAAGCAGGCCUGCCUCGUUUGUGGGUGGGUUGACGGUAGCUGGAUAAGAAGCGCCGGCUAACUACGUG